rnacentral:tRNA from 1 species
GCAGUGCGAGGCAUAAUCGAGUCGGCUACGAACCGAGCGGUCGGAGGUUCGAAUCCUCCCGGAUGCACCA